rnacentral:rRNA from 1 species
AUACGUAGGGGGCGAGCGUUGUCCGGAAUUAUUGGGCGUAAAGCGCGCGCAGGCGGUCCUUUAAGUCUGAUGUGAAAGCCCACGGCUCAACCGUGGAGGGUCAUUGGAAACUGGGGGACUUGAGUGCAGGAGAGGAGAGCGGAAUUCCACGUGUAGCGGUGAAAUGCGUAGAGAUGUGGAGGAACACCAGUGGCGAAGGCGGCUCUCUGGCCUGUAACUGACGCUGAGGCGCGAAAGCGUGGGGAGCAAACAGGAUUAGAUACCCUGGUAGUCCACGCCGUAAACGAUGAGUGCUAAGUGUUAGAGGGGUCACACCCUUUAGUGCUGUAGCUAACGCGAUAAGCACUCCGCCUGGGGAGUACGGCCGCAAGGCUGAA